AGAACAUCAGACGUUUUGGUCCACCUCCUAUUGCGAGCAAGCCUCAUCGUCGGUUGAAAACCGUUAAGAUCGCAGCUCUAAACAUUCUAUGCUAUAAUUAGACACGUGCCGACGUUCAGGGGAGUUUUUUUCCCCCACAUACCUUCUGGGUUAUAAUCUGAGCUAGGGUCAGAUUUCAAACCGUUGCUGAUUUCCAAGCAUGAGACUCAAUGUAUGCAACAAAAAGAAAACUAGAGAUUCCUUUGUUUCCAUGUAAAAAGCGGCUGACCCUUUCUCCCUUUGACAAUGAGCCUACUUUCCCCAACUCCCAGAAAGGAAACAAAUUUCAGAUGUCCGUAGACCAGUACCCAGAAUGGACUGUUUAGGUAGGGGA